rnacentral:lncRNA from 1 species
AGACGAAGUCAAGUACAUUCCAAACACACUUGUCAGCUUUAUACAUAACUAGUCUUCUUAUCCCGCUACCCCUCAUCCGAUGGGAACACGAAUUUAAUUAACGUCGAGGUUCUCAGCUUCGAUCUGAUGAGAACAUCUGCUAUGUCACCUGACCAUGAAAACUGGUAGACAACACCAGGAACAGUCAAGACUCCGAGCCUCUGUGUGUCCAUGUUGAGGAUAGCAGGCAGAGAAGACAUCACAUGUGUUCGAAGACGCUGGAAUAAAAAACAAAAAAUACAACAUUGACACAAAUACUAGAUAACUGAUGCCUACCUCGUUCACAAAAAUUGUCAACUCUUUCCCAGCUAGCUUACCAGCCGUGCACUUGAUACUCAAAGCAGUUUCCUCCUUCAAUUCAGUGUGUACUGUGGUCCGAACGGCUUCGAUCGAUACGCCAAACACAGUCACGCCGUCUUCCAUCUCCUUGCAUUGUACACUUCCCUUUCCUGUUGGAUUGUAAUGAGAUGCAGGAAGAGACCAAACAAAAUACCCAUAUAAGAACUUGCACGUACCUCCUCGCAUCAACACUGUUGGGAACUUCGCCUCCCCCGAUUUUCUGCUCAUGUCCCCAAACUUGAGUCCUCCAGUAUCAACUGUACCGUCCAUCCUCGAACGGACAAUGUCGAAGACCUCCUCGAUGGUCGAGCAGCUGAUCGAGCCGUUAACGUGAUCCUGCAUCUUGAGAGCAAUCGUCAUCUGGAAAGGCAGGUAUGUCCUCUUUUUCUUCCGCUCAGGCGUCUCCUCUUUCUUGAUCCACUCUGGACUUCUCGCUCGCUUCUUCGACUGCUGCUGCAGCGGCUGAUCAUCUGGAACAUCUUCCACCACACACAAGGGUUCUGAAUCCAAAGACUUGCCACCCUCCAUCUUCACUAAAACGGCAUACACUUGAUCUUCCUCCUUCGUGCCUUGCAGGCCCGACGGAACGUCAGGAUGCUCCCUUCUGAACGCCAUCAGCAAAGAGCACAAGGCGUCGUAGUCGCUUUUGUUCAUUGCUCUCUGCUUCAGUGCAGUCGAGAUAUGGAAAAGGACAAAUGGGGGAUACACCGAGUCUAUCGGAGGGAAUGACAUGCUGCUAGGCUGUAGAUAGUGGAGGCCAGGUACUUGCAGGUUGAGACUGUUGCCUGAGAAGAACUUCACGUCACGCUUCUCCAAAUGCAGGCCAAUGGCAUCAUCAUUGAUGCUACAGAAGUGACCACCCUGCGAGAGUCGGUGGUGAGCAUAGCGUUCGAACAAGACCCAAGCUGCACUCUGCAGUGAAGGCAGUGCCCGAGUGCACUCCAUCCAGUCCUUGAUCUGUCCCUUGUAGCAUGCAAUGGCGAAACAAUCUACAACCCACUCCGAAGUGAAGGAGAUAUGAUCCACACAGGUAAAGUCCAGACUUGGCCAGGAAACAGAGGUCUCUGGCAAAAAUAAUGCACGGUAAAUGUUGAGCUCUCCCACUUUCACAGCAUGGUUCACAGCCAUGCCUAUCAUGUUGUAUACAAGUUCCAAAGGCAUGAAGUAGUACCUCACGAUUGGCCCGGCUAUGUAGUAAGUCGCCCAGAAGUCGACGUGCGACUUAUCUGCGUUCUCGGGCGCCGAGAAGUAAACCUGCUGCAACUCCUCGACAGACCAAGGAGGCAUGUAAAGCGCAAAGAAGUCUAUCUCAUUGAUGAGUUUGAGCGCGUCCACCCAAUUGCUCUCCUCCGGUGAUGCAAAGAGCACAGUAUGUCUAGCGAAGUUCCCAACAAACUCCUGAUCCGUGAGAAGCCAAGCCCCCGGGAUUUCGUAAUCCUCUUUAGAACCGGGCGCGUAACUCCCAUCCGGUUUGAAGAUGUAAACCCUCUUCUUCUUUUUUUCGACGAGCUGAACUAUCACGGCCGGUAUCCCUUCUUCACUGAGGAGCCGUUUCAGGACGUACCACAGAAAGCACGACUUGCCAAUUCCAGGGUUUCCUGAUAUGUGGAUGUAGCUCUUGCCCAGGCUUGCGAGCUCUCUCAUGUCGGCAUAGAGAUCCUCAUAGCAUUCCCGUAUCCACACUUUCCGCUUCCUCCUGGCGAUGGGAGGGAGAUCUAUCCACCUACCAUCAGGGUCUGUCGCUGCAUGCCCAUCAUCCCCAACUGGCGCUAUCGAUUCCAUCCGCACCUCUCUCCGGCUAGGGCCCUAAAGAGAGAAUAUACCUGAUAUGCUCCAGCUCAACUUAGAAAAUAUAUUUGUUUUAAAAAUAAUUAUAUCAAAUCAAACUUUUGUUUCAACAAAAUUUCCUCUUUUUUUUACCCUAAGUGUCUUGGAUUUUUUUUGGGCAGCAUAAUGGAAUUUUAGUAGCCAUUAGGUUAGUUUCAAUCUAGAUUAAUAUAUAAACUAAGGUUUUUAGGCUAAUUGAUAUGCAAAUUUUUUAUAUUCUCUUUCCUUAUUCCAUGCAUUCACACUGAUGGAGAUGAAAGGCAGUUUUAAUUAAAAUGCUAAAUAGAUCCAUUAUUUAGAUGUCCCUUUUCUUUUAGCUUUUCUCAACUUCUUUUUUUUUACUUAUUUCUUUUCAUUCAUUUACGUGGUAGAGUAACAACCUCCUUCUCCUUUGACUGGAGCACUAAUUGUGUACUCAGCCUGGUUUGAGAAACUUGAGUCAUUGGCUUGCACUUGUUAGUAUUAAGAACCCCUGCGAUAUUGAGAUUGGUCUCUCAAUAUUAUUUGAAUGAUAGUUUAUUGUGUCUACCAAACACCCUCGUUAUCAUUCCCUUUGUGUUAGUUUCACUUUAGUCCCAAAUGCUAUUUAUGGAAAGUGUUUAGAUUUAUUCAUUUGGCAUAUCUACGGAAUGUAGAGAUUGUUUUGAACACAAUGGUGUUUGUCCCGUGUCCAAAUUCACAAUCUAGGAACAUUCCAUAUUUAGUAAGUUUCAAGCUUGUCCCAGAGAUUAACUCCUGAUAUUAAGGAAGGUUUGGGGUGAAAGCCCAAAGCAUGUGUUCCUCAGGGGGGGUUCCAAAUGUAUAGUAGGGAUAGUGGGUAAGUCGGGCAUGGCCGACCAACCUAAGGCAUAGUCUAACUCUCGCUUGCGUGCUUGUCAUUAUUUUGCGUCGGGCUUGGGUCUAAACCUAAAUUGCUAGUUGGUGGGGUACCUAUAUCCUCGCAUUAAGCCACCGGUAUGCUGAAAUAGUGCCAAAUUUUGUUUGGCUCCAUUUUGUGUGUUGGUUCUAGCAUUGGGAUGCUAGUUGCUCUAGGAUUGUUCCAAGUCGCUCCGAGCUCCUGUCCCUUCGCUCCUUGGGCUGUAUGCUCGGGAGUUACUCUGUGGUUCGGUUCCAUCACUCCUUGGCUCUAUGCUUAGGAGUUUGGCAUCGUUCUUUCGUUCAGUGGCCCAAGGCCCUGAACCUCGGGUUCUGCACCAGACACGUGGCAUGUGUCACGUGGCAUAAAGAAGGUUUAUGUUCUGCUUCGUGGUGUUAUCCUAUAGUAAAUCACUAUAGGAUAAAAGGUAAAAACCACGUGCGCUACAUUUGGUAUCAGAGGAUAUGUCUUAGCGAGUACUUGGGCAACUAGUCUCAUUGCAUACACAGAAAUGAAAACGAUGAUCCGAGUGGGUACACAUUUGGGUGCAAAGACUUCACAAUCGUUCCUUAGAUAUGGAUUUUGGUUACCUUUUCGUACUAAAGUAAUGAGCUUGUGCUUGGGCUCAUAAGUUGGAUGUAAGGUGUUCUAUUUGAAUGAGUUUGCGCUUGGGCUCAUAAGUGAGGCACAUUAGCAACUUGAGGUUACACUUUGAAUUGGCAGGAUUAAUAUUAGCCUAUCGAUGGUUUCAUGAAUUGUUCCAUGUACCGUGAGUGAAAGAAACCUUCCCUGGGUUUGUUAUGAGUGGCAAAUAAGUUGGUCCAUAGCUAUUUAGCACGGCACUAGUGGAUCCUUCCUAGGUAUGAUUACAAGUGGAUCAAUCAAGACUGUAGGGAUUAAUCUAUUGAUUCAAAUAGUCAUUGCCGUGCUCUCUUAUGAACUUUUCUUGGAUUAGACUGAAGGCAGUGUGAAUGCAAGUUGGAGGUUUAGUAAAAAAUGAGACCGAAAAGAGAGUUGUCAGGGACAAAGGAUCAAACACGUAAAUCAUUUUGUCUUUUUGGAGAGAUGAUUUAAAACGAGGUGUUGUUCACAAUAUGCAAUCAAGAUUCCCUACCUUAAUGCAUGUUAAAAAUUAUAAUCUUGCAAGUGGUGAGUCAUGGGAUGGAUAGUGGUGAAGUGUUAUACCAUUUUGUCUAGGCUUGCUAUUGAAGACUUAGGUUGCAAUGCUCAAUUCUUUUCCGAGGAAUCUUGCUAUUGCUCCUUGAAUAGCUUGGUGUUGGAUUAGUUUUGAGUUUGGUCGGAAAGAGAGUAGUAUAAGCUUGUCCAUGUUGUGAACAAAAGUUAGUGGUGUUAAGUGUUGUAAAUCUUUAUUGGUGGAGUGUGGCAUUUAUGGUGUAUUUUGUUGAAUAGAGUUGGCAUUUGAUAUUCACAUAAAUUUUUGUAGUAGUGACAUAGGUGCUACUCAUAGUGUUACUCAAUUGAUGACCAAGUCAUUGUGAUACUUAUAUCAUAUCCAUGUGAUAAUGAGAAAUGUGUUUACAAAGUUGCUUGGGUAAACAAUAAUCAACCCCAAAGUGGUUGAUAUUGAAACUGGUCUACUUACAUAAAGUAGCAUUGUAGUAGCUUUGACUGAAUUCUCGAUGGUGGUUCAUUAUGCUAAGCAUAAGUUGGUACUUUGUUCCUUGAGGGUUUGCCUAUAAGGUAUUGGAAAAGAGUUGUAGCAUUCACUUGUUAUGGUUUGUUGGUUGAUCCAUUAGCACUUGGAGUAAAUUUUUGGAUGGAGAAGAUGUGUAGUUGAGGCAUUGAUAUCGCUGGCAUUUGUGUUAGUGCAAGUGGCAUUGUUAUUUCGAGUGAUGAGGAAUUUUCCUUAGACCUUGAUUUUUCAUGUCAUUUUUCUUGUUAGUGUUUUGGCUUCACAUUGGAUCUUGAAGGUGGUUAAAGAAGAGCAUUACUGCAAUAUGGAUAUCUGAAGAUAUGGUCUUCAUGAUCAAGCCUUGGAUGUUCAUUUUGUAUUUUACGGAUGUCAAUGUUAGAUUCAGAAAAAUGGGCAAAAGAUAUUCGAAGCUUAAGCAUAUUGUUGGAUCAUGAGAAUUUGUGUUGAGGUGAACCUAUGUGAAGUUGUUUGUAAGAGGAAGUUGGAUGAGUCUUAAAAUUUUGCAUUCCUGGACUGAGAGUCAUUCUUUCUCUAAGAUGGAAAAUUUUCCACAAAUUUGCUUAGACUUAUCCAAUGGCUGAGCUGUUGAUCACUUUGUUCGAAAACCAUUCUAUUUUCGUAAGCCAAUACAAACUAGUGAAGGGGUUGGAGUUGACCUUGGUUAGCUUAGACCUUAGUAAGUGGUUUGUAUGAUGCGACCUGAAAGGGAUACUAACUUUUAGGGCUAAAGCAAUUGAGUUGGAUAAAGUUUGGAGUUGGUGUAGAAAAGUAGCCAUUGCACUUUUUUAAAAAGGUGACCUUUGUGCCUUUCUUCUAUAGCAUUUUGCUUAGUGGCAAGUUGUAUCUUGCAUUUCAUUAAACUCUAUAAGACUAGUGAGCUUUCACUGAUCUUAACUUGGUCUUGAUGGUUUUGCAUGUUGGUUGAGGAUAGUGAUGUCCAACUUAGUUGUUUAAUGUUAAGAUGUUAGUACCCAUACUAUAGCCUUGUUAGUGAGGAAGUUGUGUACCGAUAUGAGUUCAUCUUAUGGUCUCCCUUUGGUUUCGACUGAGUGUUGAUAAUGCAUAGCUAGCUUCUUCAAAGGAUGCUCAGAGAUAUUGGCUAGACGUGUUGGUGAGCUUAUUUUAGUUGAGUUAGAUUUGAGUGGCCAUUUAGUUUGUGCUUGUUCAUGUUCCUAUAUUUCGUACCUGAAGUAUUAUGUUUAUAUUGAACAAGUAUAUAAUUUGAUGAUGCGAGUUUAAUGUUGGGUCUUGUGAAGGUAAGUUGAAGAAUGGUUGUUGGUUGCUUUGCAACUAAUGAUUGCUUGUAGACUUUGCUAAAGACUGUUAACACUUGCUUCACUCAAUAAACUUGCUUUACCGAAUGGUGUUGCAGAGGAUUGUGUCAUGGCUUAGAUGGUUUUUCCAUGUUAGCAUGUCGAUUCUUCUAUUGAUAUCAUUUGGUUACGUGUUGGAUUUCAUGGAGUUUUGGAUGUGGUGAAUCACUCCUUGAUGAUGUGUUAAUUGAAAUUGAGUAUUGUUGGAGGAUUAGUCUCAGAUACUGAUUAAUGUAUCUUCGACUUUGGUUAGCUUAGUUGCUAAAGAGUUUUGAGUGGUGAUUCACUCUUGCUUUCUUCUAACUUUGUUAUAGUGUUGAUGGCAUUGAAGUGAUGCCUUGUCAUUGACACUGUUAAUGUUAAGAUUUGAGUGAAAUCAAAUUUCUCUCCUUAGGAUUGAUAUUGUGUGUCAAGACCCCUGACAAGAUCAAGAUUGGAAAAUGCAAAAAGACAAAGAGAAAAGCUAGUGGAAACAAAGAAGAAGCCUUAGACUGGCGUUGAUUCAGAUUGUGGAGAAAUGGAACAAGGCUAACCUAUAUAUACUAUAGGUUGAUGAAGCUCCACCACUCUUGGAUCGAGGACGGCCUAAAUAUAGCUGAGGUCGAGGAGGCGCCACAUCAUCAUCAGGAAUGUGGCUCAAGACUCAGGAAUCGGGAAGUGUCUCAAGAGUCAGGAAUAGGAAAGUGUCUCGAGAGUCAGGAAUGUGGUCUGUAGGUCAGGAAUCCGGCGAGAGUCAGGAAUGUGGCAAGAAUUGGGGGAUUCCUGAUAGCACCCCCUCCUCAAGAACGAGUGGAACGAGGAUGUGAACGAGAACGAAGAGGAGGAUGGGAUAAGCGGCGAGGGAUGGGAGAUGGAGAAAAAGAAUGAGGACUGGGACGAGAAGGAUAGCGGCGGUGGAAGUCAUGAACAAGGUCAGGAGAAUGAAGCAGGUUGUCUGCAGGUUCCCAAGUGCGUUCCUCAGGUCCGUAACCCUUCCAGUCCACCAGAUAGUAGAGUUUAGACCGUGAAAUCUUGGAAUCAAGGAUGUCCUGAACCUUGUACUCAGACCCAUCCUCGAGCUGCACUGGUGAAGGCGGAGGAAUGACCCGAUUUGCAAUAGGACUGGGAAUAUAAGGCUCAAGGAGAGAGGAGUGAAAAACGGGGUGAAUUUGAUAUGAGGAGGGAAGUGUAAGGCGAUAAGUGACAGGAUUAAUGAUGGCAGUGAUAGGGAAAGGACCAAGGCGUUUGAAAUCGAGUUUUGGACAGGGCCUGGUGGUGGAGAUAUUUCACCUGAGGAGCCAGACUUUAUCCCCGAUAUUGUAAGGGGGACAAUCUUGACGAUGGAUAUUGGCAAAUGUUUUAUGAAAUUCCUGAGCACGAUGGAGGUGGAAGGAGAUGGAGUUGUGGAUUUCCUGGAGGUUGGAGAUAAAUGCCUCAGAGCGGGGAUUUGAACGAGAGGAUUCAGAUGGAGAAGGAAGUGAGAGAUUGAAUCGGGGAUUUCAGCCAGAGUUUGCAAAGAAGGGGGAAACUCGAAGAGAGGAGUGAACAGAGUUGUUAUAGGAGAACUCAGCAAGGGGAAGGAUAUCGAACCAGUUAUCCUGAUGAUAGUUGAUGAAGCACCUCAAGAAUUGUUCCAACGUCUGAAUCGUUCGCUCGGAUUGCCCAUCAAUUUGAGGAUGAUAUGCCGAAGAGAGGUUGGCCUUCACUCCAAGCAGCUGCAAAAACUGUUGCCAGAAAUGAGAGAUGAACUGAGGCCCCCGAUCCGAAACCACAUCUGUAGGAAUCCCAUGAAGUCGGAAAAUUUCCCUAAAUACCAGUUUUGCCAUGUCCUCGCCCGAAAACUCCUUGGUACAUGGCAAGAAGUGCGCCAUCUUUGUGAAGCGAUCCACCACGACUAAAAUGCUGUUGAAGCCUCUAGAACUCGGAAGAUCACUCAAGAAAUCCAUGGAGAUGGAUUCCCAAGGACCUGAAGGGACCGGAAGGGAACGAAGCAAACCUGAAGGAAGGUGGCGAGGUACCUUAUUCCGGGCACAAGUGUCAUAGGAGGUAACAAAAGCUUUGAUGUAGUCGUCCAUGUGAGGCCACCAAAAGUCCCAUGCAACUAGCUCAUAGGUUUUCACAAUGCCGAAGUGACCAGCAGUCGGGCUAUCGUGGCACGCCAUCAGGACCAACCUUCGAGCAUCACCUUCAAGAACGUAAAGCUGCUCCCACGGUACAAUAAGCCAUCUAAGAACUCGAACUCGUCAAAUCGCCGGCAGUCGGGAGUCACUGGGUGUCCAGCCUGAAGAUGGGGGAAAAUGUCGCUAGCGAGAUCAUCGGAUUGAAGAUCGUUUCUGAUUGCAUCCAUCAAGGAGGAGUCCUGAGGGGCCAGGGAAAUUGCCAUAACUUGAAGCCGAUCAAGACCGAGGAUAACUUGAUCCUGUUGAUCAAAGGCAGGAUUACCAGGCCUAAGACUGAGAUAGGAGCGCCUUGAAAGAGCAUCAGGAAGGCCUUGAAACUUUCUAGGUCUAUACUUGAUAACAAAGUCAAACCGACUCAGGAAUUGUGCCCACCUUGCUUGACGACGGCUUAAAACUUGGGAAGUGGCAAAGUACUCGAGAUUUUUGUGAUCCGUCCAGACUGUUCUUUGAUGGCUCGCCCCCUCCAAGAAACGGCGCCACUCUCCAAAAGAAUCCACGAUGGCAAGGAGCUCCUUGUCGUGGAUUUCAUAAUUGAUCUCCGCAGGCUGGAAUUUCCGAGAAUGGAAAGCGACCGGAUGAAGUUCGUGAUCUGCUCCAAGUUGAGACAGCACAGCACCAAUGGCAAAGUCGGAGGCGUCAGCCUCGAUGAAGAAAGGUUGUGAGGAAUCAGCAUGGAUCAAGACAAGAGCAGAACUGAAGGCUGCCUUGAGUGUGUCGAAGGCCUGCUAGGCAACAGCAGACCAAGAGAAGGGAACAUCCUUGCGAGUGAGAUGUGUGAGAGGAAGGACAAUGUUAGAGUAGUGAUCAAUGAAUUUGCGGUAGAAGUUAGCGAAGCCAAGGAAAACCUGAACGUCCGACAUUGAUUGUGGAGGCUCCCAUUCGAGAAUAGUCUUGACUUUGGCAGGAUCCAUCGUGAUACCCUCAGGAGUGACAAUGUACCCAAGGAACUCCACAGACUGCUAAUCAAAGGAACAUUUCUCAAGCUUCGCGUAUAGGCCGUGUUCUCGCAGCUUCGCUAGCACCUUGUGAGCAUGUUCGUCAUGCUCCUCCUGAGUUUUUGAGUAGAUGAGGAUGUCAUCGAGAUAGACGAUCACCAUCUGAUCAAGAAACUCCCGAAAGACGUCGUUUGCCAUGUGUUGGAAAACUGCUGGAGCAUUUGUCAAGCCAAAUGGCAUAACAGUGUACUCGAAGUGGCCAUAGCGGGUUCGGAACGCAGUCUUCCAUUCAUCACCAGGCCGGAUCUGGAUCAGGUUGUAUGCUCCACGGAGGUCGAUCUUGGUGAAGAAGCGGGCACUGCCGAGGCGUUCCAACAGGUCCGAGAUUAGGGGCAGCGGAUAACGGUUCCGAACAGUCACCUUGUUCAAACCUCGGUAGUCGAUGACUAGCCGCAAGCUCCCAUCCUUCUUCUUGACAAAGAAGACAGGCGCUCCAGCCGGGGACUGCGAAUGCUGAAUGUAGCCCGAGGCAAGGUUCUCAUCCACGUACUCUUUGAGGGCCUUAAGCUCGGACGGGGAUAACCCAUAGAUAGGCCCCCACGGAGGUGACGCUCCUUCCUGUAAAUCAAUGGGACAAUCAUAAGGCCGAUGAACAGGCAGUACACUAGCUUUUUUCUUAUCAAACACAUCCCCAAAAUCAUGAUACUUCUCAGGAAGACUGAUAGGAGAAACAUGCAAAGCAAAAAGAAAAAGAGGUUCUUCAUGAAGGAGUUCUUUCAUAGUGAUUGUGGAGAUAGGAGGAGGCGUACGACUAAAUGGAAUGAUGAGACGAGGAUAUGGUCCAGUGUAAGAUGGAAGAGAGGAAAAAGAAGAGGGUGAAAACUUUAUAGAGUCAGGAACAAAACCCCGAUUUGAGUUUAGGGAACUUUUCCUGAUUCGGACUCGAUGAACAGUAGGGGAAGCUGUGGGAGAGAUGAGCUGUAAUUCCUUCCAACAGAUCUAAGGCUGAUGUAGUUAGAACCAAGGAAGAUCGAGCACCACAGAGGAGGACUUGCUGUUGAUGAUGUUGAAGGCGAUAUCGGUGACGGUGGACCCGAUGUGUACUUGAACGGGCAACGUUUCCCUAAGUCUAGAAGAUGGAGACACAAAAUGCCCGCCGAUGCCUUCAACCCUCAAAUCCCGUAUGGUAGGAGAAAGAGGAACGUGAUGUCGGGCAGCAAAGUCCAUGUCCAUGAAGCAGGAAGUUGCACCCGAGUCCAGUAAUGCCAGAGCCUUGAGUCCUGAUUGUCCGGUGAAAGAAAGGAGACAUGGGACGCGGAAGUUGCGGGAAUUGGUGGUGGCUUUGAUGAAAGGUGGUGAGGAGUUUGAUAAAGAAGAAAAGUGAUUUUUAUUCGGGGAGUCCAAACAGACAGCUCCUACUCUGUUUGGACAGGAUCGUUUCCCGACUGCAAUAGAGGUGGACUUUGAGGCAGAGUGAACUCGAGCAGUCGAGGAGGCUUCUUGGGACAUACAGCUGCUUUGUGAUUAGGAUCAGCACAAUAGAGGCAAAGAUUGUGAGAUAUUCGACGUUGCUUCUCAGCAGGACUCAACUUCCCUCUAAUGAGUCGGGGAGUACCAGAAAUAUCCAUUGGAACCGGAGCAGUAGGUUCAGGAGUAUGCCCCGAAGACUCAAGCUGGGAUUCCUGAGUCUGGGACGGAAAAACAGCGGCGCGGCGACUUUCCUGACGACGUUCAAAGAGACGAUUGUCACAUCGAACAGCUUUGUUGAUGGCAUCCGACAGGUCCUUGGGAUCCUCCAUGGUGAGCAACAAAUCCUUGACACCGUUGUUGAGGCCGAAACGAAAUUGGUCAAUCAGGGCCUGCUCAUCCCACUGAGUGUCCAAAGCAAGGAGUUGGAACUCUGCAGCAUAGAUCGAAGCAGGACGAGACCCCUGAGAGAGACGUCUCAUCUUUGUGGUAGCAGCCCAAACCCGAUCUGUCUCGCCAAAACAUGCUUCGAGCUUCUCUUUGAACAAUGAAGAUCCAUCAGCUCUGGAACCACGACCCCUUUCAUGCUCUUCUCCAGAAGAGGAGAAAACCAUGACAAAGCUGCACCUUCGAGCAACGUCCCAAUCGUGCCGAUUUGAGACUCGGGAGUAGGGUACUGCUGAUGUUGAAGUGCAAAGAUCAACUCCAUCUGGUUCAGGAAUCCGCGAAGCUCCAAACGCUUGCCUGAAAAUUUUGCCGGGAAGCUCACCUUCGGUUCAGGAACUUUGCUGGAUCCUUGAGCCGAAAGUGAAGCAAGCUCCUGCUGCAUGCGAAGAAGGGUCGCCUUCAGCUCGGUAUUCUCAGACUGGAUUUUUGCAAGGACUUCAGCAAAGAAAUCAGGAUGGCUUGGAGACUCCAUUGGCAAGAAGAAAGGAAAAAGGGGGAAAAAAAGGCAAAGGUAAUCAAACAAUCAAAACGAGCUAAAUCAAAAAACGAAAAAACACAAUCUGAAUCAAACUGUCAAGACCCCUGACAAGAUCAAGAUUGGAAAAUGCAAAAAGACAAAGAGAAAAGCUAGUGGAAACAAAGAAAAGGCCUUAGACUGGCGUUGAUUCAGAUUGUGGAGAAAUGGAACAAGGCUAACCUAUAUAUACUAUAGGUUGAUGAAGCUCCACCACUCUUGGAUCGAGGACGGCCUAAAUAUAGCUGAGGUCGAGGAGGCGCCACAUCAUCAUCAGGAAUGUGGCUCGAGACUCAGGAAUCGGGAAGUGUCUCAAGAGUCAGGAAUGUGGUCUGUAGGUCAGGAAUCCGGCGAGAGUCAAGAAUGUGGCAAGAAUUGGGGGAUCCUGACAUUGUGUUUCAUUAGUCUCGAUGAAAAUAGUGUUGAUGAUUUGGUUAUGGCUUUGUGUUAUUUGCAUUCGUGCAUUGCUAGUUAGCAACUAUGUUGACGUUCAAAUGAACUAAGUGGCAAGUUUGAGUUAGUUGUGUUCUAGACGAGAUUAUUUAGUAGGGGUUGAGCUUUGGCUUUUCUUUGAAAAGUGAUUUAAUCGUGGAUUAUGCUAACUUUACAAGAGAAAGAGUUAAUGAUUGAUAUUGAAGAUGUUAGUCCUUUGUUGGAUUUGCGUUAUGAUAUAUUUAUCAUUGAUGAUUCUUUUUAUGCUUGUUAUGAUGUGAGUUACGUCUUGUUAUAGAUGGAUUCAUAGAGGAUCGGUUUGAUGAUCACUUGUUAAGCAUAACUCCAUUGUGCUUGGCUUUUGGAUUGAUACAGAUAUGCUCUUCAUUAGCUUUGCAUUAUGAAGUUUGGAUUAUAGAUAUGUUGAGGAGGAUAUUGUGGGUUGUAUUAUGAUUUCUUCUUUAACAUUGAAAUUAGUUCAUGCGAGACUCGUGAUCAUUGUUAUGCAAGACUUGGCUAUAGACUUCUUCAAACAUUUGGUUCCUUGAGUUUUCAUGCUCAUUCUUCCAUUUGUUAAAAGUUGUUGGGGGAAGGCAUUUUGGCUCAUUAAUUUCAAUAUUAAAGUUAAUGUUUGCAUUUGGCAAUCAUUGGUGAUGAUUGCUAUCAUUCACAAUAGUUGAUUAUCCUUGUUAAAGGUUUUGCUUGAUUAUUGUUGAUGUAAAAUGAUGUGCCAUUUUUCGGGAUGGUGAAUUCUUUUUUCAACGAUGAUUAUACAUCUCUCUUUUUGAUGAGAUGAUUGAUGGUUUUUCAUGAUAGUUAAUUGUUUUCUUUGAUGGUUUUUGGUUUUUCACAUUACCACAUGUUCUUUGUGUUCUGCUUUGGAUUGGUCUCUUGGGUUUGAGAUAUCGAUAGGAUGUUACUAACACUUGCUUGAGCAACUAUGGUUCCUUGGUAUUGUUAACCAUAAUCUAUUUAGAUUGGCUAGUGCAUUAGUUGGCAUGAAUGAAUGUUUGUUGGUCUUACCACAUUCAUUCUGUUCUGUUGAUUAUUGCUUGAGUUAGUUCUAAUAAAUUAAGAUGUUAUUUCCUUCGGAUGAUACAUUUGCGAGCAUUGUGCUUGCCAGUCGAUGAUACUUUGUGUUCUUUUAGUUGUCUUUUGUAAGUUGUUUUGCAUGCUCUCUACAAUCUUUGAUAAUUAUGUUUUAUCAUUGAUGUUUCUUGAUGAUACACUGACUAUUGAAUUUUGUUGGAUAGUGCAUCCUAUGUUUUCCAAACAUGAUGCUCUUGGUGGAUCCUAUAUAUUAUAAUACUUGUUUAUCGGAUGAUAACUUACUUGGAAUAAUUUUGUGUUCUCAUUUAAGAUUUAUUCACUGAUAAUUAAGACUUUAAGAUAUCAUUGUUUAUGACUUUGAUAUUGUCCAUCUAUUUAUCUUUGAGUUUGGGCCAGUAUAGGCAGCCUGGCUUCGGCACUCUGUGUAUCAAAAAUUACCUAUCGGCUAGUCCUUUCGAAUAUUCUUUCUUUACUGCUAUGAUGGUAGGAGGUCAGUAUUGCUAGACCAGUUAUCAGUUUCCCACUUGAGCUAGUUGAGAAACUGGUCAAUGACCAUGUACUUAAAUUGAAUAAACAUAAGGUAGGAACCCUAUGUGUUUCUUGCUGAGCGUACUCAGCUUGGUUUGAGAAACUUGAGUCAUUGGCUUGCACUUGUUAGUAUUAAGAACCCCCGCGAUAUUAAGAUUGGUCCUUCAAUAUUAUCUAGAUGAUAGCUUACUGUGUCUACCAAACACCCUUGCUAUCAUUCCCUUUGUGUUAGUCUCACUUUAGUCCCAAAUGCUAUUUAUGGAAAGUGUUUAGAUGUGCUCAUUUAGCAUAUCUACGGAAUGUAGAGAUUGUUCUGAACACAAUGGUGUUUGUCCCGUGUCCAAAUUCGCAAUCUAGGAACAUUCCAUAUUUAGUAAGUUUUAAGCUUAUCCCAGAGACUAACUCCUGGUACUAAAGGAGGCUUGGGGUGAAAGCCCAAAGUGUAUGGUCCUCAGGGGAGGGGGGUUAUGGGGGGUUCCAAAUGUAUAGUAGGCAUAAUCUAGUUCUCGCUUGUGUGCCUGUCCUUGUUCUGCAUUCAGCUUGGGUCUAAGCCCAAGUUCCAUACCAUGCUAGUUGGUGGGGUACCCAUAUCCUCACGUUAGGCCACUAGUAUGCUGAAAUAGUGCCAAACUCCAUUUGGCUCCGUUUUGCGUGCUGGUCCUAGCAUUAGGAUGCUGGUUGCUCUAGGAUUAUUCCAAGUUGCUCCAGGCCCUGUCCCUUCGCCCCUUGGGCUGUAUGCUCGGGAGUUACUCUAUGGUUCGGUUCCGUCAUUCCUUGGCUCCAUGCUUGGGAGUUUGGCACCAUUCUUUUGUUCAAUAGCCCAAGGUCUUGAACCUCGGAUUCCGCACCACUGUCCUUUGGACAUAUGGCAUAUGACACGUGGCAUGUGUCAAGUGGCAUAAAGAUGGUUUAGGUUCCACUUCAUAGUGUUAUCCUAUGGUAAAUCACCAUAGGAUAAAGGGUAAAAACCACAUGCGCUACAAGUUCGUGCAAUUGUUUGAUGGAAUAUAGUUGCAACUGAACAAUCGAACUUAAUUGAUGGCAAUAUUCAUAGCACGUGGUAUAGCUCCUCUUGCUCUUGCUACUAAUCCUCGCAUCUAGCCAAAGUUAUUCAGUGGGAAUUUUGGGAAUGAUGUGUACUAUUGAUUCGUUGGAUGAUGCUUAAUGUUUGUGUGAGUUUCCCACAUAUCUCCAAGGGAUGGUGCUGCGGUGGUACAAUGGUAUGAGCACAGCCAUUUAUGAGGAUUUGAGUAUUUUCCUAGACGUAUUUAAACUUGUAUUUAGAUAUGCUAAUAAUUGUGAUGAUGCCUUCCAAAAAUUACAUCAUAUUCAUCAAGGGCUAUAUGAGUCGGUGAUGUAAUUUAGCGUUCGAGGAAGUGGAGCUGAAGGAUGUGUAAUGAAAAGUGGAAGAGGUAAUGUCUCAUAACGUUAUGUCAAGUGAAGGGCAUUGUCAAGGAUGGCUAGAGCAAGUGUAUGCCCAAAUUCUACAAAAUCUUGACAAAAUGUUAGCCAUAACAUUUAUAGCUUGAUCCACUUUGACAUAUUUAACUCCGCAUAAAGCAAGAGUCCACUUCCUAUGAAAGAUGGUUAUGUUCCAAUGGAAAUUGAUAUUACUGUUGCCCAAGUUCAAGAACAAAGGCAAGGAUGUGGUUAUAAUCGUGAUGUUCAUUGUUGGGAGUCUGAUAAAGUUAGUUACACUUAUCAAUGUUGUUGGCAUUUUCUGGAUUAGUGACUUAUAUUUCCUAGGUGUCAACAAUGUCUUGUUCAUGUUGUUGUAGUGGAAGGUUUGGACACCGAGAUGCAUCCAGAAAACGAGGAACCCCACUGUAAACUCCUGAGUAGUAGAGGACCUUGCGUGAAUACCAUCUGCACACCAUGCUUUGGCUAGGGCCCUGAAGAGAGAAUAUACCUAUGCAAUUCUUUCUAUAUAGAUAUAUAUAUAUAUAUCCUUUAGCUCCAACUUAGAAAAUAUAUAUUUUUAAAAAAAAAUUAUAUCAAAUCAAACUUUUAUUUCAACAAAAUUUCCUUUUUUUCUUACCCUAAGCAUCUUGAACUUUCUUCUGGGCACAAGUGAUAUUAAAAUAAGUAAUUUUUAUUUAUUCAGAUUAUUUUUAUAUCUUGUUUUUAAUUGCACACAAAAUUAUUAUGCAUACAAUCAUGUUUCAAUUGCACAACACAUCUCACAUGAAUAGACAUUUUAUGUAACAUAUGCAACUAUAUCAUCUUAUUUUUUUACUAAUUUAUGAUCCAUAUUAUUACCAAAGUGCAAUUACACUUUUUUUAUUGUACACAAAAGGUAUCACUUUUGAAAGUAACACCUGGAUAUCUAUUAUUACAUGAUCCACUAUUCCCAAAAUUUAUAAUGUAAUGACAUUAAAUCCAAAAGAAAGAGAUGCAAAAACAACAUAAAUAAGCAGAUAGUUGAUUUCCUAGAAUGCACUAGUCUUUUAGUGCUCUAGCUUUUGUUAUGGAGCAAUUAAUCAUAUUCUACUCUUCUUUCCCUUAAAAUCCACACAAAAAUUUUAAGGCUUCAUAUGUUAAAAAAUAAGCUUUAAUAAUGUGCUAGAAAAAUCAAUAUAGAGGAAGAAAGCAAUGGGUUUUAAUCUGCUACAUGAACAUAAUACAUACUUGUUAUUUUUUCCACAAUGUCCCAAUCAAUUAUCCAUCAAUAUACCCUUGAGAUAAUGAUUUAAACUGAAAACAUGUGUGUGAAGCACAAAAUUGCCAUUGAUUGGAGGAAGGACUUGUGACAAUUGUCCCAUGGGAUGCCUGAGCCAAGCUUUUAUAUCAUGGUCAAUUUUCAGUGAUCUGGUGGACUUUUUGGUAGGGCGUGAAGGGCUAAAUUAUCCAUGGGAAACUGUGCUCCUCAUAGGAUCUUCUAGAGGGAGUGUUGAGAUAAAUAGUCUCUGGGCAUUUGCUAUAAAUCUACCUAACAUUUCUUUUAUAUAUAAGGGAGGUUCUUUUCAUUUUGUUUAAUAUAGCCAUUGAUCAAGGUUUAGCCCAAGCAUUUUUUGUAUAUAUAGAGUGGUGUUUUUUUUUCAUCCUGUUCAAUAUAGCCAUUUAUCAAGGUUCCUAUUAUUUUAGCUUUUAUUUUAAUAUCUUUUCAUUAAUUUUUUAAAAAGCAAGGAUAUAUACCCAAGAAAAGAAACUAUAGUGAAUGAAGUAAUAUUCUUUAGUAGAGUUGCCAAAUAUUAAGUGUUGGAGCAACAUAUUUAACUUUCUCUCAAUUGUUAUUUAUCCUCCAAGGGAAAAGGGGCAAUAUAAAAAUAUUUUCUCAUACCAUUAAAAUAUUUUUAUAGUAAAAUAUUUAAGGGAAUCUCACUUCGCUACAAAUUGAUACAUUAGGCAAACUGUAAAGAUAAUUGGAAUCAAAGUUGGGGAGGAGCCUCCUACCCUUUUCAAAAGAUCAAGGCAAAUUUCUUCAAGGUCUUUUUCUUUUUUCUUUUUCUUAGUCUUUUGGAUCUUAAUCAAACUUGCAACUUGAAUAUACCAUUCCCAAGGAUGAUGGCACAUUGCAAUUGUUUGUGGGUUUUAGAGUCUAGCGUGACAACUAAAGGGCCUUAUGACUGUAAUCCCCAUAUGAGCUAGAGUGGCUCACUUGAGUUUUUACGUAAAACGUUGUUGAUGUUCGUAUAUUCCAGCACCUGACAUGGGAAUGAUAUUUAUUUCUUCACAAACCAUGGCUUGGAUUCUAGAUGAAUACUCUAAGUUUCAAGGGUACUCUCCAACAAUAGUCACUGGAAAGCAACUUGUAAGCUUGUAUUUUUAUGAUUAUGUGAUUUUUUCUCUUAUAUUAUUUUUGCUUCUCAGGACCUCAGUGGCUCUGUAGGACGUGAGGCUGGCACUGAAAGAGGAGUUGUAUACGUGACUGAAGCAUUACUUGCUAACCAUGGCAAAUCUCUCUUGAACCAAACUUCUUUUAUGAUCCAGGUAGAACAAUUUAUAGCUUCCAUUGUAUCUCUUGGGCUGUUAUUUCUCUGACUGAGAGGUCUUGCAAGGCUUUGGCAACGUUGAUCACCAUACUGCCUAAUUCCUCUUUAUGGCCAAAGGAAGAGUCAAGGUGGUAAGUGAUAUAACCGAAGCAAUUGAUGGUUUUUGUGACCAGAUUUUUGCAAAGAAGGGCAUCAGGACAUCCUUGCAAGCUCAGGUGGUGUCACACGCUCUUUUUGUACACAAGUAUUGGUUUGAGCAUUUGCUAUUUCUCUUUCAUAUAAAACAAUCAAGGCUUUACGUGGGAUGCAUUACUGGAACUUGCAGAAUCUGUCACGGAAGAUUGGGAGGCUUUCAAAUACACAUAUAGGCAGGAUUCCACUGGCUCUACAAAACAUACAAGAUAAAAAAAAACAGAAAACAUGACUUCCGUUGCCCUAAAGUGCCCUAAAGGAAACGGUCAUGUCAACUAAAAAGGUUUGGAUAAAGUUGAAUUUGAUGGCAUCACGCUGAAUGCUUGAAUCAAAUGGAUUGAUAACCAAGAAUUCUUUCAAACAUUACUUAGGGGGGAGAAUUUGCAGCCACUGAGGUGUCACUUACAAUCGACAUUGCGUAAUUAGAGGAGUGCUGUGCCACAACUCUGACAGUUGUAUAUAUGUGGCAGAAGUACAUUUUUUUCUCUUCCUUUCUUUUGUUUUGGUUUGCAGUCCAAACCAGUAGAUGACUUGAUACAAACUCCAUGUGGCGGAAUUCCCGAGACCUUAGCCCUUGACUGCAUUAAACGUUUCCUGAUGACAAAAAUAGCAAAGUGAUGAGAUUAUUUUAUUUGUUUAGCCUCUUUUCUAAUUUCUCAGAGCGCUCAAAUGAUGCACCUAAACGAAAGUUGACAAGUUGGAAAACACUUAAGCGAGAGUGUCCCUAGAGAGUGUGCCGCAGCUCUCUACCUCAAGUUGGCCGUCGUGCUUGCUACUUCCAGAGGAGGAGGAGCUGGAGCAAGCUCGUCCAGCUCACAAUCGCCGCCUCCGUGGUAAAUCAUCGGCAAUCUCCCACGAAGGCACGCGGACUAUCCACGCUCUUGGCUGAAUGUGCAUGUUCCUCCAGAGUCCAGCCGCGAGGAACACAUUGCGGGGCAAUGCAAUCUUGAUGAUCGUGGAGGUAGACUGCACAGCCUGCAAGUCGAUGGUCACGGAGGGAUCUUGAUGAUAAAUGGCUUCAAUAUCUCGGAUUUUGCGGUUCCAGAUCAAGGACGUGAUAAAGGCUGCUUCCUUUCCCUACAGUCCCUGCGAUGACCGGCUCGUCUCACCCACUUCCGGCUCCUUCGAUCUGGAGCGCCACUACUCCCACGAAUCUGCUCAUCCCGGGCCCAACUCGCCCACGAAUCGAUUUCCACGUGGCAUGUCCAGCUGUACUGAACCAUUUGAAUUUAGACGAAGUCAAGUACAUUCCAAACACACUUGUCAGCUUUAUACGUAACUAGUAUUCUUGUCCCGCUACCCCUCAUCCGAUGGGAACACGAAUUUAAUUAACAUCGAGGUUCUCAGUUUCGAUCUGAUGAGAACAUCUGCUGUGUCACCCGACCAUGAAAACUGGUAGACAGCACCAGGAACAUUCAGGACUCCGAGCCUCUGUGUGUCCUCUGGUACCAUGUUGAGGAUAGUAGGCAGGGAAAACAUCACUGAUGUUUGAAGACGCUGGAAUAAAAGAAAAAAAUACAACAUUGAUACAAAUACCAGAUAACUGAUGCCUACCUCGUUCACGAAAAUUGUCAACUCUUUCCCAGCUAACUUACCAGCCGUGCACUUGAUACUCAAAGCAGUUUCCUCCUUGAAUUCAGUGUGUACUGUGGUCCGAACGGCUUCGAUCGAUACGCCAAACACAGUCACGCCGUCUGCCAUCUCCUUGCAUUGUACGCUUCCCUUUCCUGUUGGAUUGUAACGGGAUGCAGGAAGAGACCAAACAAAAUACCUAUAUAAGAACUUGCACGUACCUCCUCGCAUCAACACUGUUGGGAACUUCGCCUCCCCCGAUUUUCUGCUCGUGUCCCCAAACUUGAGUCCUCCAGUAUCAACUGUACCAUCCAUCCUCGAACGGACAAUGUCAAAGACCUCCUCGAUGGUCGAGCAGCUGAUCGAGCCGUUAACGUGAUCCUGCAUCUUGAGAGCAAUCGUCAUCUGAAAAGGCAGGUACGUCCUCUUUUUCUUCCGCUCAGGCAUCUCCUCUUUCUUGAUCCACUCUGGACUUCUCGCUCGCUUCUUCGACUGCUGCUGCAGCGGCUGAUCAUCUGGAACGUCUUCCACCACACACAAGGGUUCUGAAUCCAAAGACUUGCCACCCUCCAUCUUCACUAAAACGGUGUACACUUGGUCUUCCUCCUUCACGCCUUGCAGGCCCGACGGGACGUCAGGAUGCUCCCUUCUGAACGCCAUCAGCGAAGAGCACAAGGCGUCGUAGUCGCUUUUGUUCAUUGCUCUCUGCUUCAGUGCAGUCGAGAUAUGGAAAAGGACGAGUGGGGGGUACACCGAGUCUAUCGGAGGGAAUGUUGCUGGGCUGCUAGGCUGUAGAUAGUGGAGGCCAGGUACUUGCAGGUUGAGACUGUUGCCUGAGAAGAACUUCACGUCACGCUUCUCCAAAUGCAGGCCAAUGGCAGCAUCAUCGACGCUACAGAAGUGACCACCCUGCGAGAGUCGGUGGUGAGCAUAGCGUUCAAACAAGACCCAAGCUGCACUCCGCAGUGAAGGCAGUGCCCGAGUGCACUGCAUCCAGUCCUUGAUCUGUCCCUUGUAGCAUGCAAUGGCGAAACAAUCUACGACCCACUCCGAAGUGAAGGAGAUAUGAUCCACACAGGUAAAGUCCAGACUUGGCCAGGAAACGGAGGUCCCUGGCGAAAAUAAUCCACGGUCAAUGUUGAGCUCUCCCACUUUCACAGCAUGGUUCACAGCCAUGCCUAUCAUGUUGUAUACAAGUUCCAAAGGCAUGAAGUAGUACCUCACGAUUGGCCCGGCUAUGUAGUAAGUCGCCCAGAAGUCGACGUGCGACUUAUCUGCGUUCUCGGGCGCCGAGAAGUAAACCUGCUGCAACUCCUCGACAGACCAAGGAGGCAUGUAGAGCGCAAAGAAGCCUAUCUCAUUGAUGAGUUUGAGCGCGUCCACCCAAUUGCUCUCCUCCGGUGAUGCAAAGAGCACAGUAUGUCUAGCGAAGUUCCCAACAAACUCCUGAUCCGUGAGAAGCCAAGCCCCCGGGAUUUCGUAAUCCUCUUCAGAGACGGGCGCGUAACUCCCAUCCGGUUUGAAGAUGUAAACCCUCUCUUUUAUUUCGACGAGCUGAACUAUCACGGCCGGUAUCCCUUCUUCACUGAGGAGCCGUUUCAGGACGUACCACAGAAAGCACGACUUGCCGAUUCCAGGGUUUCCUGAUAUGUGGAUGUAGCUCUUGCCCAGGCUUGCGAGCUCUCUCAUGUCGGCAUAGAGAUCCUCAUAGCAUUCCCGUAUCCACACUUUCUGCCUCCUCCUGACGAUGGGAGGGAGAUCUAUCCACCUACCAUCAGGGUCUGUCGCUGCACGCCCAUCAUCCCCAACUGGCGCUAUCAAUUCCAUCCGCACCGCUCGGGCCCUAAACCUGAUAUACUCUAGCUCAACUUAGAAAAUAUAUUUGUUUUAAAAAUAAUUAUAUCAAAUCAAACUUUUGUAAACCUUGUUGAGAGAUUCAGCGUGAUGCCAUCAAAUUCAACUUUAUCCAGACCUUUUUGGUUGGCAUGACAUGGUUCCUUUUCUUUUUUAUCUUGUAUGUUUUGUAGAGCCAGAUUUUGCUCUUUGGAAUCCUGCUUAUAUGUGUAUUUGAAAGCCUCCCAAUCUUCCGUGACAGAUUCUGCAAGUUCCAGUAACGCAUCCCACGUAAAGCCUUGAUUGUUUUAUAUGAAAGAGAAAUAGCAAAUGCUCAAACCAAUACUUGUGUACAAAAAGACGCCUGUGACACCACCUGAGCUUGCAAGGAUGUCCUGAUGCCCUUCUUUGCAAAACUCUGGUCACAAAAACCAUCAAUUGCUUCGGUUAUAUCACUUACCAUCUUGACUCUUCCUUUGGCCUUAAAGAGGAAUUAGGCAGUAUGGUGAUCAACGUUGCCAAAUCCUUGCAAGACCUCUCAGUCAGAGAAAUAACAGCCCAAGAGAAACAAUGGAAGCUAUAAAUUGUUCUACCUGGAUCACAAAAGAAGUUUGGUUCAAGAGAGAUUUGCCAUGGUUAGCAAGUAAUGCUUCAGUCACGUAUACAACUCCUCUUUCAGUGCCAGCCUCACGUCCUACAGAGCCACUGAGGUCCUGAGAAGCAAAAACAAUAUAAGAGAAAAAAUCACAUAAUCAUAAAAAUACAAGCUUGCAAGUUGCUAUCCAGUGACCAUUGUUGGAGAGUACCCUUGAAACUUAGAGUAUUCAUCUAGAAUCCAAGCCAUGGUUUGUGAAGAAAUAAAUAUAUGAAAAUCCAUAAAAAAGGAAGAAAAAAAAUGUGAAUAAAACCUGAGCACAUGUCAGGUGCUGGAAUAUACAAACAUCAACAAUGUUUUGCGUAAAAACUCAAGUGAGCCACUCUAACUCAUAUGGGGAUUAUAGUCAUAAGGCCCUCUAGUUGUCACAUUAGACUUAAAACCCACAAACAAUUGCAAUGUGCCAUCAACCUUGGGAAUGGUAUAUUCAACUUGCAAAUUUGAUUAAGAUCCAAAAGACUAAGAAAAAGAAAAAAGAAAAAGACCUUGAAGAAAUUUGCCUUGAUUUCUUGAAAAGGGCAGGAGGCUCCUCCCCAAUUUUGAUUCCAAGUAUCUUUACAGUUUGCCUAAUGUAUCAAUUUGUAGCCUCAGAGAGAUUAUAAAAAUAUUUUAAUGGUAUGAGAGAUAUUUUUAUAUUGCCCCUUUUCCCUUGGAGGAUAAAUCACAAAGUUUAGUUAAGUAUGUUGCCUCCUAUUUGGCAACUCUACUAAAGAAUAUUACUUCAUUCACUAUAGUUUCUUUUCUUGGGUACAUAUCCUUGCUUUUUGAAAAAAUAAUGAAAAGAUGUUAAAAUAAAAGCUAAAAUAAUAGGAACCUUGAUAAAUGACUAUAUUGAAUAGGAUGAAAAAAAAACACCACUCUAUAUAUACAAAAAAUGCUUGGGCUAAACCUUGAUUAAUGGCUAUAUUGAACAAAAUGAAGAAAAACCUCCCCUAUAUAUAAAAGAAAUGUUAGGUAGAUUUAUAACAAAUGCCUAGAGACUAUUUAUCUCAACACUCCCUCUAGAAGAUCUUAUGAGCAUAGUUUCCCAUGGAUAAUUCAGCCCUUCAUGCCCUGCCAAAAAAUGCACCAAAUCACUAAAAAUUGACCAUGAUAUAAAAGCUUGGCUCAGGCAUCCCAAGGGACAACUGUCACAAGUUCUUCCUCCAAUCAAUGGCAAUUCUGUGCCUCACACACAUGUUUUCAUUUUAAGUUAUUAUCUUAAACGAGUUAUUAUCCUUAUAUAGUGUAAGGGUAUAUUGAUGGAUAGUUGAGAUAGGGAUAUUGUGGAAAAAAUAACAUAAUACAAGUAUAUAUUAUGUUCAUGCUUUCUUCCUCUAUAUUGAUUUUUCUAGCACAUUAUUAAAGCUUAUUAUUUAACAUAUGAAGCCCUGAAAUUUUUGUGUGGAUUUUAAGGGAAAGAAGAGUGGGAUAUGAUUGAUUGCUUUAUAACAAAAGCUGGAACACCAAAAGAUUGGUGCAUUCUAAAAAAUCAACUACCUAUUUAUUUAUAUUAUUCUUGCAUCUCUUUUUUUUGGGUUUAAUGUCAUUACAUUAUAAAUUUUGGGAACAGUGGAUCAUGUAAUAGUAGAUAUCCAGGUGAUAGUGAUACCUUUUGUGUACAAUAAAAAAAGUGUAAUUGCACUUUGGUAAUAAUAUGGAUCAUAAAUUAGUAAAAAAAAAAAAGAUGAUAUAGUUGCACAUGUUACAUAAAGUGUCUAUUCAUGUGAGAUGUGCUGUGCAAUUAAAACAUGAUUGUAUGCAUAAUAAUUUUGUGUGUAAUUAAAAACAAGAAAUAAGAAUAAUCUGAAUAAAUAAAAACUAUUUAUUUUAAUAUCACUCGUGCCUAAAAGAAAGUCCAAGAUGCUUAGGGUAAGAAAAAAAAGGAAAUUUUGUUGAAAUAAAAGUUUUAUUUGAUAUAAAUGUUUUUGAAAAAAAAUAUAUUUUCUAAGUUGGAGCUGAAGUAUAUAUAUAUAUAUCUAUAUAGAGAGAAUCACAUAAGUAUAUUCUCUCUUUAGGGCCCUAGUCAAAGCAUGGUGUAUGGAUGGUAUUUACGCAAGGUCUGCUACUACUCGUGUGGUUCCUUGUUUCCUGGAUGCAUUUUGGUGUCUAGACCUUCCACUACAACAACAUAAACAAGACAUUGUUGACACCUAGGAAAUAUAAAUCGCCAAUCCAAAAAAUGCUAACAACACCGAUAAGUAUGACUAACUUUAUCAGACUCCCAACAAUGGACAUCACGACCAUAACCACAUCCUCGCCUUUGUCUUUGAAUUUAGGCAACAGUAACAUCAACCUCCAUUGGAACAGAACCAUUUUUCAUAGGAAAUGGACUCUUGCUUCGUGUAGAGCUAAAUAUGUCAAAGUGGAUCAAACUAUAAAUGUUGUGGCUAACAUUUUGUCAAGAUUUUGUAGGAUUUAUGCAUGCACUUGCUCUAGCCAUCCUUGACAAUGCCCUUUGCUUGACAUAACGUUAUGAGACAUUGCCUCUUCCACUUCUCAUUACAAAUCCUUUAGCUCCACUUCCUCGAACGCCAAAUUGCAUCACCGACUCAUAUGGCUCUUGACGAAUAUGAUGUAAUUUUUAGAAGGCAUCAUCACAAUCGUUAGCAUAUCUAAAUGCACGUUUAAAUACGUCCAGGAAAAUAUUCCAACCUUCACAAAUAACUGUGCUUAUACCAUUGUACCACUGUAGCACCAUCCCUUGGAGAUAUGUGGGAAACUUAUGCAAACAUUGAGCAUCAUCCCAAAAAUGAUAUGUGCCAAUUAUCGUGAAGUGAUCAAACUAAUAAUACACAUCAUUCCCAAAAUUCCCACUGAAUAACUUUGGUUGGUAGGGUUUAGGGUUUAGGGUUUAGAGCCAAUGUCAAGGGCCAUACGAGUCGGUGAUGCAAUUUUGCGUUCGAGGAAGUGGAGCUGAAGGAUGUGUAGUGAUAAGUGGAAGAGGCAAUGUCUCAUAACGUUAUGUAAAACGAAGGGCAUUGUUAAGGAUGGCUAGAGCAAAUGCAUGCACAAAUCCUUGCAGCAGGAGGAGUUGUACCACAUGCUGUGAAUAUUGCCAUCAAUUAAGUUUGAUUGUUCAGUUGCAACUAUAUACCAGCAAAUAAUUGCACCAAUUGCUGCUCCAAUCAAAAGAGAAGGAAGUUGUUACUCUAUGAAUGAAAAGAAAUAAAUAAAAGAAAAGAAGUUGAGAAAAGCUAAAAGAAAAGGGAAAUCUAAACAAUGGAUCUACCCAACAUUCUAAUUAAAAUUGCCUUUCAUCUCCAUCAGUGCGAAUGCAUGGAAUAAGGAAAGAGAAUAUAAAAAAUCUGCAUAUCAAUUAGCCAAGAAACCUUAGUUUAUGUAUUAAUCAAAAUUAAAAUUAACCCGACGGCUAUUAAAAUCCCAUUACACUAAUAUUCAUAUAUAUAACAUCAUAGUUGUACACUUAGACCUCACAAGGAGUGCUGUGCCACAACUCUGACAAUUGUAUAUAUAUGGCAAUGGUACAUUAUUUUCUCUUCCUUUCUUUUGUUUUGGUUUGCAGUCUAAACUAGGAGAUGACUUGAUACAAACUCCAUGUCCUGAGACCUUAGCCCUUGACUGCACUAAACGUCUCGUGAUGACAAACAUAGCAAAGUGAUGAGAUUAUUUUAUUUGUUUACAGCCUCUUUUCUAAUUUCUCAGAGCGCUCAAAUGAUGCACCUAAACGAAAGUUGAGAAGUUGGAAAACACUUAAGCGAGAGUGUCUCUAGAGAGUGUGCCGCAGCUCUCUACCUCAAGUUGGCCAUCGUGCUUGCUUCUUCCAGAGGAGGAGGAGCUGGAGCGAGCUCGUCCAGUUCUUCCAGCUCACAAUCGCCACCUCUGUGGUAAAUCAUCGGCAAUCUCCCACGAAGGCAUGCGGACUAUCCACGCUCUUGGCUGAAUGUGCAUGUUCCUCCAGAGUCCAGCACACAAUCUUGAUGAUUGUGGAGGUAGACUGCACAGCCUGCAAGUCGAUGGUCACGGAGGGAUCUUAAUGAUAAAUGGCUUCAAUAUCUCGGAUUUUGCGGUUCCAGAUCAAGGACGUGAUAAAGGCUGCUUCCUUUCCCUACAGUCCCUGCGAUGACCGGCUCGUCUCACCCACUUUCGGCUCCUUCGAUAUGGAGCGCCACUACUCCCACGAAUCUGCUCGUCCCGGGCCCAGCUUGCCCACAAAUCGAUUUCCACGUGGCAUGUCCAGCUGUACUGAACCAUUUGAAUUUAGACGAAGUCAAGUACAUUCCAAACACACUUGUCAGCUUUAUACAUAACUAGUCUUCUUAUCCCGCUACCCCUCAUCCGAUGGGAACACGAAUUUAAUUAACGUCGAGGUUCUCAGCUUCGAUCUGAUGAGAACAUCUGCUGUGUCACCCGACCANNNNNNNNNNNNNNNNNNNNNNNNNNNNNNNNNNNNNNNNNNNNNNNNNNNNNNNNNNNNNNNNNNNNNNNNNNNNNNNNNNNNNNNNNNNNNNNNNNNNGAUAGUAGGCAGGGAAAACAUCACUGAUGUUUGAAGACGCUGGAAUAAAAGAAAAAAAUACAACAUUGAUACAAAUACCAGAUAACUGAUGCCUACCUCGUUCACGAAAAUUGUCAACUCUUUCCCAGCUAACUUACCAGCCGUGCACUUGAUACUCAAAGCAGUUUCCUCCUUCAAUUCAGUGUGUACUGUGGUCCGAACGGCUUCGAUCGAUAUGCCAAACACAGUCACGCCGUCUUCCAUCUCCUUGCAUUGUACACUUCCCUUUCCUGUUGGAUUGUAACGGGAUGCAGCAAGAGACCAAACAAAAUACCCAUAUAAGAACUUGCACGUACCUCCUCGCAUCAACACUGUUGGGAACUUCGCAUCCCCCGAUUUUUUGCUCAUGUCCCCAAACUUGAGUCCUCCAGUAUCAACUGUACCAUCCAUCCUCGAACGGACAAUGUCAAAGAUCUCCUCGAUGGUCGAGCAGCUGAUCGAGCAGUUAACGUGAUCCUGCAUCUUGAGAGCAAUCGUCAUCUGGAAAGGCAGGUACGUCCUCUUUUUCUUCCGCUCAGGCGUCUCCUCUUUCUUGAUCCACUCUGGACUUCUCGCUCGCUUCUUCGACUGCUGCUGCAGCGGCUGAUCAUCUGGAACGUCUUCCACCACACACAAGGGUUCUGAAUCCAAAGACUUGCCACCCUCCAUCUUCACUAAAACGGCGUACACUUGGUCUUCCUCCUUCACACCUUGCAGGCCCGACGGGACGUCAGGAUGCUCCCUUCUGAACGCCAUCAGUGAAGAGCACAAGGCGUCAUAGUUGCUUUUGUUCAUUGCUCUCUGCUUCAGUGCAGUCGAGAUAUGGAAAAGGACGAGUGGGGGGUACACCGAGUCUAUCGGAGGGAAUGUUGCUGGGCUGCUAGGCUGUAGAUAGUGGAGGCCAGGUACUUGCAGGUUGAGACUGUUGCCUGAGAAGAACUUCACGUCACGCUUCUCCAAAUGCAGGCCAAUGGCAGCAUCAUCGACGCUACAGAAGUGACCACCCUGCGAGAGUCGGUGGUGAGCAUAGCGUUCAAACAAGACCCAAGCUGCACUCCGCAGUGAAGGCAGUGCCCGAGUGCACUCCAUCCAGUCCUCGAUCUGUCCCUUGUAGCAUGCAAUGGCGAAACAAUCUACGACCCACUCCGAAGUGAAGGAGAUAUGAUCCACACAGGUAAAGUCCAGACUUGGCCAGGAAACAGAGGUCUCUGGCAAAAAUAAUGCACGGUAAAUGUUGAGCUCUCCCACUUUCACAGCAUGGUUCACAGCCAUGCCUAUCAUGUUGUAUACAAGUUCCAAAGGCAUGAAGUAGUACCUCACGAUUGGCCCGGCUAUGUAGUACGUCGCCCAGAAGUCGAUGUGCGACUUAUCUGCGUUCUCGGGCGCCGAGAAGUAAACCUGCUGCAACUCCUCGACAGACCAAGGAGGCAUGUA